rnacentral:rRNA from 1 species
UCCUGUAGUGGGGGAUAGCCCGGCGAAAGCCGGAUUAAUACCGCAUACGAUCUACGGAUGAAAGCGGGGGACCUUCGGGCCUCGCGCGAUAGGGUUGGCCGAUGGCUGAUUAGCUAGUUGGUGGGGUAAAGGCCUACCAAGGCGACGAUCAGUAGCUGGUCUGAGAGGACGACCAGCCACACUGGGACUGAGACACGGCCCAGACUCCUACGGGAGGCAGCAGUGGGGAAUUUUGGACAAUGGGCGAAAGCCUGAUCCAGCAAUGCCGCGUGUGUGAAGAAGGCCUUCGGGUUGUAAAGCACUUUUGUCCGGAAAGAAAUCCUUGACCCUAAUACGGUCGGGGGAUGACGGUACCGGAAGAAUAAGCACCGGCUAACUACGUGCCAGCAGCCGCGGUAAUACGUAGGGUGCGAGCGUUAAUCGGAAUUACUGGGCGUAAAGCGUGCGCAGGCGGUUUGCUAAGACCGAUGUGAAAUCCCCGGGCUCAACCUGGGAACUGCAUUGGUGACUGGCAGGCUAGAGUAUGGCAGAGGGGGGUAGAAUUCCACGUGUAGCAGUGAAAUGCGUAGAGAUGUGGAGGAAUCACUCGAUGGCGAAGGCAGCCCUCUGGACCAA